AUUGAACGCUGGCGGCAGGCCUAACACAUGCAAGUCGAGCGAGCGGCGGACGGGUGAGUAAUGUCUGGGAAACUGCCUGAUGGAGGGGGAUAACUACUGGAAACGGUAGCUAAUACCGCAUACCAUCAGAUGUGCCCAGAUGGGAUUAGCUAGUAGGUGGGGUAAUGGCUAACCUAGGCGACGAUCCCUAGCUGGUCUGAGAGAAUGACCAGCCAAAGGGGAACUGAGACACGGUCCAGACUCCUACGGGAGGCAGCAGGGGGGAAUAUUGAACAAUGGGGGCAAGCCUGAUGCAGCCAUGCCGCGUGUAUGAAGAGGGCCUUCGGGUUGUAAAGUACUUUCAGCGAGUAGGCGUUACUCGCAGAAGAAGCACCGGCGAACUCCGUGCCAGCAGCCGCGGUAAUC
rnacentral:rRNA from 1 species